rnacentral:tRNA from 2 species
GAGAAAAUAGCUCAACGGUAGAGCGCCUGCCUUACAAGCAGGAUGUUGCAGGUUCAAAUCCUGCUUUUCUCA